rnacentral:lncRNA from 1 species
CUCUGGAGGCUGAGGCAGGAGAAUUGCUUCAACCCGGGAGGCGGAGGUUGCAGUGAGCCGAGUUCAUGCCACUGCACUCCAGCCUGGGCGACAGAGCAAGACUCCAUCUCAAAAAAAAAAACAAAAAACAAAAAAGAAAAUCACUGAGGAGAAAGGAUAUCUGCGUGAAUAGGACGCCCAGCUACUUUUUGUAUUUUUAGCAGAGACAGGGUUUCACCAUGUUGGCCAGGCUGCCCUCGAAGUCCCGACCUCGUGAUCCACCCGCCUUGGCCUCCCAAAGUGCUAGGACUCCAGGCGUGAGCCACUGCGCCUGGCCUGAACAGGUUUUUAAUGCAGAUGAAAGUAUCCUAUUCUAGAAAAACACCACAAAGGACAUUUAGUAGGAAGAGAAGCAAGCAGCAGGAUUGAAAACAAAAAGAGACAGGCUAACUCUACUGUUUCAUGAAAACGUAGUGGGGUUUAUGAUCAGAACUGCCCUUAUCUAUAAAGCUGCUAACCCCCACCCCCAAUCCUUGAAGGGAAAAGAUCAGCACCAGCUGCCUGUCUUUUGGUUGUACAACUAGAAGGCCUGGACAAUGGAAAUCCUUUUUUCUGAAUUGGUUCCACUGAUGCUUUGUCCCUGAAGUCAGGAAGUACCUUGCCAAUAAGGAACUGGAUUUUAAAAUUAUUUUAAUAUUGGACAAUGCCCCUGGCCACCCAGAACCCCAUGAGUUCAACACUGAAGGUGUCAAAGUGGUCUACUUGCCCCCAAACACAAUGUUUCUAAUUCAGCCUCUAGACCAGGGGGUCGUAAGAACCUCUAAAGCUCAUUACACGUGGUACUCUACGGAAAGGAUUGUCAAUGCUAUGGGAGAGAACCCUAAUACAGAGAGUAUCAAGAAAGUGUGUAAAGAUUAUACCAUUGAAGAUGCUAUUGUUGUUAUAGAAAAAGCCAUGAAAAUCAUCAAGCCCAAAACAAAGUCCUGCUGGAGAAAAAAAUGUGUCCAGAUAUUGUGCAUGGCAUCAUUGGACUUAAGACAG